UCCCUCAUGUUGCUAGUUCGCAGUGUGUUCCUGUGUGUCACCUUGUUCCAGCAUGUUUCCUUGUAGCUUUAUAGUGAUUUUUGACUGUGUCUGCCUUACCGUUUUGCCUUUUGCCUGCUCCCUUUGGCUUUGUUUGCCUUGAAGAUUUGCCUUCCUGUGUACCGACCUGGACCGUAAUUAAACUCUGCCUUUUUCUGAACUCAUCUACAUUGCUGAUGAUCAAACGAUAAUCUGUUUGUGACUGAUGAGUGGAUGUGAACUUUGGAGAGGAGAAACCAGAGCCAUAGCUUGGAGAGCUCCAGCUGUGAUAGUUCCUGAGAAUAUACUGAGGAACUCCUCCUGGAAUCUGUUUGUACCAACGAGCAGAACUAUCAGUCACAGUCCCCAGGUUACAGUCCAUGGUGGCUGUCUCUCCUCUCCUCAGAGUCACAACAGGAGGCUUCUGUGUCACCAGCGUCACAGCACUCACACCUGGAAACAACAAGAUGACAUGGAGUCAAGAGAAACACACAGACUGAUGAAUCCAACAUGAGCUCAAAGCUGCAGUAAGUCAGCCUCCUUACAUGUUAGAGCAGUGAUGAGAGUGCACAGGGUCCCCAGCAUGUUGUCAGUGUGUGCUGUAAACGUCCCUUACUGUCCAGCUGAGAGGUGAGCAGGGUUGGAGUGUGAGGAGAAGAGACACUGAAGCUUAUAAAGACACUGAGGAGGAGGAGAGGAGGAGGAAGAGGAGGAGGAGGAGGAGGAGGAAGAGGAGGAGUUUACACACUCAGCACUGUUUUCAUUCAUUAAUAACAGACAGGAUUUAUGUCUGUUUCUUCCUGUUUGUCAUGUUGUUGUUCCUGUUGUCUUUAGAGGCCUCCUCAUGUCUUUGAGAUCAGUGUUUAUAAUCUAAUGAAGAAAUAAAGUCUACAUGAUUUGAAGUGUAA